AUGUGCGUAGGGCCCAGAGCAAGAGCCGCUGCACAGCUGGCCCGUGCUGAAGCACUCUGCUUACUCAGUUCAUCUGACCCGGCAUACCCGAUAGCGUCUACAGCAUGUGCGGGUGAUUUGGAUUCUGGGAAGAGCCUAUGGCAGGCCCGCCUGCAGACUGGGCCGAUCUUCCAAGCCACAAAGCCGGGCGUGCCCAGCAACACUCUGUCAUCAUGUGCAAAUUACGCCUGCUUGGUCAAACUACUAAAGAACUGCAUCGUGCUCAUUGACAGCACACCGUACCGACAGUGGUACGAGUCCCACUAUGCACUGCCCCUAGGCCGCAAGAAGGGGGCCAAGCUGACUCCUGAGGAAGAAGAGAUUUUAAACAAAAAGCGAUCAAAGAAAAUUCAGAAGAAAUACGAUGAAAGGAAAAAGAAUGCCAAAAUCAGCAGUCUUCUAGAGGAGCAAUUCCAGCAGGGCAAGCUUCUUGCUUGCAUCGCUUCAAGACCAGGCCAGUGUGGCCAAGCAGAUGGCUAUGUGCUAGAGGGCAAGGAGCUGGAGUUCUAUCUGAGGAAAAUCAAGGCCCGUAAAGGCAUAUAAAUCAUCAUCAUCCCUCCUAGCUUAGUCCAUGUAAUAAAGGUGUUUUGUG